rnacentral:rRNA from 1 species
AUUGAACGCUGGCGGCAGGCCUAACACAUGCAAGUCGAGCGGAUGAAGGGAGCUUGCUCCUGGAUUCAGCGGCGGACGGGUGAGUAAUGCCUAGGAACUGCCUGGGAGGGGGGGGAAAAGUCCGGAAAAGGGCGGUAAUACCCCCUAAGGCCUGGGGGGGGAAGGGGGGGGUCUUUGGAACCCACGGUAUCAGAUGGGCCUAGGUCGGAUUAGCUAGUUGGUGGGGUAAAGGCCUACCAAGGCGACGAUCCGUAACUGGUCUGAGAGGAUGAUCAGUCACACUGGAACUGAGACACGGUCCAGACUCCUACGGGAGGCAGCAGUGGGGAAUAUUGGACAAUGGGCGAAAGCCUGAUCCAGCCAUGCCGCGUGUGUGAAGAAGGUCUUCGGAUUGUAAAGCACUUUAAGUUGGGAGGAAGGGCAGUAAGUUAAUACCUUGCUGUUUUGACGUUACCAACAGAAUAAGCACCGGCUAACUUCGUG